rnacentral:rRNA from 1 species
GAUGAACGCUGACAGAAUGCUUAACACAUGCAAGUCUACUUGAACUUCGGUUUGGGUGGCGGACGGGUGAGUAACGCGUAAAGAACUUGCCUCACAGAUAGGGACAACAUUUGGAAACGAAUGCUAAUACCUGAUAUUAUGAUUUUAGGGCAUCCUAGAAUUAUGAAAGCUAUAUGCACUGUGAGAGAGCUUUGCGUCCCAUUAGCUAGUUGGAGAGGUAACGGCUCACCAAGGCGAUGAUGGGUAGCCGGCCUGAGAGGGUGAUCGGCCACAAGGGGACUGAGACACGGCCCUUACUCCUACGGGAGGCAGCAGUGGAGAAUAUUGGACAAUGGACCAAGAGUCUGAUCCAGCAAUUCUGUGUGCACGAUGAAGUUUUUCGGAAUGUAAAGUGCUUUCAGUUGGGAAGAAAAAAAUGACGGUACCAACAGAAGAAGUGACGGCUAAAUACGUG